AUGGAAAAAGGAAUUUCCCAAAGGAAAUCUGGGAUAAAAAUGUGGCUUUUUUUUCCUUCCCUCCCCAGAGAAUCCCUGGAAUUAAAACUCCUCCGGGAACGCCGGGAAAGCCUCGGAACCUUCCGGAAUCUCCUCCCAAGAAAUCCUCGGAUUUUCCCCCUGGAAAAGGAGCCCUGGGGUGGGGGCACGGCCCCGCUCCCCCUUUCCCUGGGGAUUCCCAGGGUUUUAUCCCAAAGAAUUUGGCAAAUAAAAAAUUCCAGUGGGAUCCGCCCGGGAAUCUUCGGGAUGGGACCCAAAAAUCGGCUUUUCCCUCUUUUUAUUCCCAGCUUUUCCCUCUUUUUAUUCCCAGUUUUUCCCUCUUUUUAUUCCAUCUUUUCCCUCUUUUUAUUCCCAGUUUUUCCCUCUUUUUUUCCCCAUCUUUUCCCUCCUUUUAUUCCAUUUUUUCCCUCCUUUUAUUCCAUCUUUUCCCUCUUUUUAUUCCCAGUUUUUCCCUCUUUUUAUUCCCAGUUUUUCCUUUUUUUCCCACCUUUUCCGUCCUUUCCCCCCCAUUUUUCCCACCUUUUCUUUUCCACCUUUUCCCUCAUUUCAUUCCCAUCUUUUCCCUCUUUUUUCCAGCUUUUUUUCCCACUUUUCCCACCUUUUCCCUUUUUUUCCCACCUUUUCCCUCUUUUUUUUCCCAACUUUUCCCUCUUUUUUUCCCAGCUUUUCCCAUUUUUUUCCCUCUUCUUAUUCCCAUUUUUUCCCUCUUUUUUCCAGCUUUUCCCCCCCCUUAUCCCACCUUUUCCCUCUUUUCCAGUUUUUCCCAUUUCUCCCCCUCCUUUUUUCCCACCUUUUCCCCCUUUUUUUCCCGACCUUUUCCCUCUUUUCCAGCUUUUCCUCGGCAUUUUCCUCCCAGUUUUUUGGGCUUUUUUUUUUGGGAAUCUCCUGGGACCACGGGAAUUCUUUGGGAUCGGAGUCACGGUUUUCCAUGGAAAAGGAAAAACCCUGGGAAUUCCAGGAGCCUUCCCAACCCUCACGGGAGCUGCUGCACCUCGGGAAUUCCAUCCCAAAAAAUCCCCAAAAGUCCCGGAACGGCCCCUGGAAUUCCCAGGAAUCCCAUUCCCAGCCCCGGGCGAAUUCUCUGAAUUCCCAAAACUUUUCCAUGGUUUUUUUUGGGUUUUUUCCGGGAUUUAUUUCCCACCGGACAUGCAAAAAAUAAAAAUUAAAAAAAAAAAGGAAAGAAUUCCCAAAGAAUUCCCUGAAAAAAAAUUCCCAAAAAAACCAUCGGCACAGCACGGUUCUGGGAAUCCCGGGAAUUCCGGCUCCGGAAUUUUUGGGAAUAAAACACCAAAUUCGCCACAAUUCCAAUGGGAAUUCCUCCAAAUUCCCUCCAAAUUCCCUCCAAAUUCCCGUCCAUCCCGAAUCCGGAGGGUCCUGGCCUGGAAUUCCCAUUCCCAGCCCGGAAUUCCAGGAUUUGGGAUCCUCUGGAGCUCUUCUGGGGCCAGAAUUCCUCAAUCCGGGAAAAUCCCAUCCCGGGAAUCUCCAUUUUUUGGGGUUUUUUUGGGAAAAAUCUCCCUCCUUCCCGUCCCAAAAAAUCCCAGAGCCGUCCCCACUUGGGAUUGGGAAGAGAUUCCAGGAAUCCCAGGCAGGACAGGAAUUCCCGUGGGAUUCCCGGGAGGGAUUUUUGGGAUUCCUGGGCUGGGAAUGCCGGGAUUUUGGGAUUUUGGGGGAUUUGGGGAUUUGGGAAUUUGGGAUUUCGGGGAUUUUGGGGAUUGGGGAUUUGGGGAUUUUGGGGAUUUGGGAUUUUGGGGAUUCGGGAAUUUGGGAUUUUGGGGAUUUGGGGAUUUUGGGAAUUUGGGGAUUUGGGAUUUUGGGGAUUUGGGAUUUGGGGAUUUGGGAUUUUGGGGAUUUGGGAUUUCGGGGAUUUUGGGGAUUUGGGGAUUUGGGAAUUGGGGAUUUGGGGAUUGGGGCUUGGGGCUGGCGGGUCAGGAGCUGAAGUAG
rnacentral:lncRNA from 13 species